GACGAACGCUGGCGGCGUGCUUAACACAUGCAAGUCGAACGGAAAGGCCCUGCUUUUGUGGGGUGCUCGAGUGGCGAACGGGUGAGUAACACGUGAGUAACCUGCCCUUGACUUUGGGAUAACUUCAGGAAACUGGGGCUAAUACCGGAUAGGAGUUCCUGCUGCAUGGUGGGGGUUGGAAAGUUUCGGCGGUUGGGGAUGGACUCGCGGCUUAUCAGCUUGUUGGUGGGGUAGUGGCUUACCAAGGCUUUGACGGGUAGCCGGCCUGAGAGGGUGACAGGCCACAUUGGGACUGAGAUACGGCCCAGACUCCUACGGGAGGCAGCAGUGGGGAAUAUUGCACAAUGGGCGGAAGCCUGAUGCAGCAACGCCGCGUGCGGGAUGACGGCCUUCGGGUUGUAAACCGCUUUCGCCUGUGACGAAGCGUGAGUGACGGUAAUGGGUAAAGAAGCACCGGCUAACUACGUG
rnacentral:rRNA from 1 species